ACCUGGCUGGCUCAGUCGGUUGAGCAUCCGACUCUUGAUUUUGGCACAGGGGGUGAUCCCAGGGUUGUGGGAUCGAGCCCACGCCAGGUU
rnacentral:tRNA from 1 species